GACGAACCGUGCGAACGUUGUUCGGAAUCACUGGGCUUAAAGGGCGCGUAGGUGGUCUGUCUAGUCGGGGGUGAAAUCUUUCGGCUCAACCGGAAAACUGCCUUCGAUACUGGCAGGCUCGAGGGAGGUAGGGGUUGCGGGAACUACCAGUGGAGCGGUGAAAUGCGUUGAUAUUGGUAGGAACGCCGGUGGCGAAAGCGCGCAACUGGACCUCUUCUGACACUGAGUGCGCGAAAGCUAGGGGAGCAAACGGG
rnacentral:rRNA from 1 species